rnacentral:lncRNA from 1 species
AUGUUUUCUUUAAAAAAUGAUGAGUACAUAGGUAUAAUCACGCCUCAUUCCUUCAGAUCCACAUGCUCAUUUGGAAUUUGUGAUAAUUCAGCUCCUACAGAAUUGAUUCCUUUAGGAAGUUGCAUGCUUGCUCAGUCAUGUCCAACUCUUUGUGACCCCAUGGGCUAUAGCCUGUCAGGCUCCUCUGUCCAUGGGAUUCUCCAGGCAAGAAUACUGGAGUGGGUUGCCAUUUCCUUGUCCAAGCAGUGAAUACUGGGCUCCAUGUUUUAAGUCAGAGGGCUUUGGGGAUUUCACUUCUGAGCUGUUUUCACUCCUCGACUGAGUUAGGUGAGACAUAAAAUGUAUGGCAUUUUCAAAGGAAUGUUUCCCCUACCUUUUCCCAGGUAUUCCCUUAAGACUUCGUGGAACUCAUUGUCAUGAGUCUGGGGGUCAGCAGAGCCACUCACUAUUCUUGUUUUUGUUUUAAAUGUUUAACUGAAUUUUAAUGUUUAAAUGUGUUUGUUUUUAAUGUUUAAAUAGUUGAUUUACAAAGUUGUGUUAAUUUCUGCUGUACAGUGAAAUGACUAGUUAUACCCAUAUUUGCAUUUUUUAAAAUAUUCUAUUCCAUUAUGGCUUAUCCUAGGAUAUUGAAUGUAGUUCACUAUGCCCUACAGUAGGGCCUUGUUUAACUAUUCUGUAUGUAAUAGUUUGCAUCUUCUAAUCUCGAACUCACAACCCAUCGCUCUCCCCUGCCUCUGCCCCUUGGCACCUACAAGUCUGUUCUCCGUGUCUGUGAGUCUGUUUCUGUUCACAGAUGAGUUCCUUUGUGUCUUAUUUUAGAUCCCACAUGUGAGUGACAUCGUGUGAUACUUGUCUUUCUCCUUCUGACUGACUUCACUCAGUAUGAUCAUCUCUAGGUCCAUCCGUGUUGGUGCAGAUGGCGUUAUUUCAUUCAUUUCUUAUGGUUGCCACUCACCAUUCUUAAAAUGCGCAUGACGCAAGCACAGGGCAGGCAUCACCUGGCUUUGAAAAGGUCGACAGACUUCACUAGCAAAGAGGGGGUGUCUGCAUUCACCACUCUGUGUGUGUAGGUGUAGCAGGAUGCCGAAAUAGCUCUCUCAGUGGGGAUGUGGGUCAUAUUUAGGCAUUUACCAGGUGGUCUCAGAGAUUAGAAAUAAUAAAAGGAAGUUUGCUGAUGAACUUUAAAAAAAAAAAAAUUGGGGAAAAAACACUCUUUCUAACAGUAGAGGAGAUUUCAGUUAAGCCAUCUUCUUCCAGGGUCCACUGUUGGGUAAUACAACCAACACUUACUUGGUUUGGUAAUUACUGAGCACUUACUGUGGACCAGGAGCUGUUCUACAUCUUUUUUUUUUUUAAACUUUACAAUAUUGUAUUGGUUUUGCCGUAUAUCGAAAUGAAUCCGCCACAGGUUUACAUCUUUAAUGUGCACACUCCCAUUAAAUUUUCAGAACAGCC